UACGUAGGGGUCUAGCGUUGUUCGGAAUUACUGGGUGUAAAGGGUUCGUAGGCGGUGUGGCAAGUCGGGAGUGAAAUCUCUGGGCUCAACUCAGAGACUGCUUCCGAAACUGCUGUGCUGGAGUGUGGGAGAGGCGCGUGGAAUUGCAGGUGUAGCGGUGAAAUGCGUAGAUAUCUGCAGGAACACCCGUGGCGAAAGCGGCGCGCUGGACCACUACUGACGCUGAGGAACGAAAGCUAGGGGAGCAAACAGG
rnacentral:rRNA from 1 species